rnacentral:rRNA from 1 species
GUGAGGAAUAUUGGGCAAUGGGCGAAAGCCUGAUCCAGCCACGCCGCGUGAGUGAUGAAGGCCUUCGGGUUGUAAAGCUCUGUGGGGAGGGAAGAAAAAGCGGGAGAGUAACUGCUCUCGUGUUGACGGUACCUCCUUAGCAAGCACCGGCUAACUCUGUGCCAGCAGCCGCGGUAAUACAGAGGGUGCAAACGUUGCUCGGAAUUACUGGGCGUAAAGCGCGUGUAGGCUGACAUGCAAGUCGGGUGUGAAAUCCCAGGGCUCAACCUUGGAACUGCACUCGAAACUGCACGUCUUGAGUACUGGAGAGGGAAGCGGAAUUCCGGGUGUAGAGGUGAAAUUCGUAGAUAUCCGGAGGAACACCAGUGGCGAAGGCGGCUUCCUGGACAGUAACUGACGCUGAGACGCGAAAGCGUGGGGAGCAAACAGGAUUAGAUACCCCGGUAGUCC